rnacentral:rRNA from 1 species
CCGUAACUAUAACGGUCCUAAGGUAGCGAAAUUCCUUGUCGGGUAAGUUCCGACCUGCACGAAUGGCGUAAUGAUGGCCAGGCUGUCUCCACCCGAGACUCAGUGAAAUUGAACUCGCUGUGAAGAUGCAGUGUACCCGCGGCAAGACGGAAAGACCCCGUGAACCUUUACUAUAGCUUGACACUGAACAUUGAGCCUUGAUGUGUAGGAUAGGUGGGAGGCUUUGAAGCGUGGACGCCAGUCUGCGUGGAGCCAACCUUGAAAUACCACCCUUUAAUGUUUGAUGUUCUAACGUUGGCCCCUGACCGGGGUUGCGGACAGUGUCUGGUGGGUAGUUUGACUGGGGCGGUCUCCUCCCAAAGCGUAACGGAGGAGCACGAAGGUUAGCUAAUCCUGGUCGGACAUCAGGAGGUUAGUGCAAUGGCAUAAGCUAGCUUGACUGCGAGCGUGACGGCGCGAGCAGGUGCGAAAGCAGGUCAUAGUGAUCCGGUGGUUCUGAAUGGAAGGGCCAUCGCUCAACGGAUAAAAGGUACUCCGGGGAUAACAGGCUGAUACCGCCCAAGAGUUCAUAUCGACGGCGGUGUUUGGCACCUCGAUGUCGGCUCAUCACAUCCUGGGGCUGAAGUAGGUCCCAAGGGUAUGGCUGUUCGCCAUUUAAAGUGGUACGCGAGCUGGGUUUAGAACGUCGUGAGACAGUUCGGUCCCUAUCUGCCGUGGGCGCUGGAGAAUUGAGGGGGGCUGCUCCUAGUACGAGAGGACCGGAGUGGACGCAUCACUGGUGUUCGGGUUGUCAUGCCAAUGGCACUGCCCGGUAGCUAAAUGCGGAAGAGAUAAGUGCUGAAAGCAUCUAAGCACGAAACUUGCCCCGAGAUGAGUUCUCCCUGAGACUUUAAGUCUCCUGAAGGAACGUUAAAGACGAUGACGUUGAUAGGCCGGGUGUGUAAGCGCAGCGAUGCGUUGAGCUAACCGGUACUAAUGAACCGUGAGGCUUAACCUU